rnacentral:rRNA from 1 species
GUUUGUGUAUAUGCUCAUGAUGAACGCUAGCGGCAGGCUUAACACAUGCAAGUCGAGGGGUAACAUUGUGCUUGCACAGAUGACGACCGGCGAACGGGUGCGUAACGCGUAUAGAAUCUGCUUGUACAGGAGGAUAGCCUUUAGAAAUGAAGAUUAACACUCCAUAAUGUAUAGAAGAGGCAUCUCUUUUAUAUUAAAUAUUUAUAGGUACAAGAUGACUAUGCGUCUAUUAGCUAGAUGGUAAGGUAACGGCUUACCAUGGCAACGAUAGGUAGGGGGUCUGAGAGGAUUAUCCCCCACACUGGUACUGAGACACGGACCAGACUCCUACGGGAGGCAGCAGUGAGGAAUAUUGGUCAAUGGAGGCAACUCUGAACCAGCCAUGCCGCGUGCAGGAUGACUGCCCUAUGGGUUGUAAACUGCUUUUAUACAGGAAGAAACCGUGCUACGUGUAGCACCUUGACGGUACUGUAAGAAUAAGGACCGGCUAACUCCGUGCCAGCAGCCGCGGUAAUACGGAGGGUCCAAGCGUUAUCCGGAAUCAUUGGGUUUAAAGGGUCCGCAGGCGGUCAAUUAAGUCAGAGGUGAAAGCCCAUCGCUUAACGAUGGAACUGCCUUUGAUACUGGUUGACUUGAGUUAUACGGAAGUAGAUAGAAUAAGUAGUGUAGCGGUGAAAUGCAUAGAUAUUACUUAGAAUACCGAUUGCGAAGGCAGUCUACUACGUAUAUACUGACGCUCAUGGACGAAAGCGUGGGGAGCGAACAGGAUUAGAUACCCUGGUAGUCCACGCCGUAAACGAUGGAUACUAGUUGUUGGGUUUCGACUCAGUGACUAAGCGAAAGUGAUAAGUAU